rnacentral:rRNA from 1 species
UACGUAGGGUGCGAGCGUUGUCCGGAUUUACUGGGCGUAAAGAGCGCGCAGGCGGCUGAUUAAGUCGAAUGUGAAAGCCCCCGGCUCAACUGGGGAGGGUCAUUCGAUACUGAUCAACUUGAAGGCAGGAGAGGGUAGUGGAAUUCCCGGUGUAGUGGUGAAAUGCGUAGAUAUCGUAAGGAAGACCAGUGGCGAAGGCGGGUCUCUGGACAGUUCCUGACGCUGAGGCACGAAGGCCAGGGGAGCAAACGGG